rnacentral:rRNA from 1 species
AGAGUUUGAUCAUGGCUCAGAUUGAACGCUGGCGGCAUGCUUUACACAUGCAAGUCGAACGGUAACAGGGAGCUUGCUCCGCUGACGAGUGGCGAACGGGUGAGUAAUAUAUCGGAACGUACCCAAGAGUGGGGGAUAACGUAGCGAAAGUUACGCUAAUACCGCAUACGAUCCAAGGAUGAAAGCAGGGGAUCUUCGGACCUUGUGCUCCUGGAGCGGCCGAUAUCUGAUUAGCUAGUUGGUGAGGUAAAGGCUCACCAAGGCGACGAUCAGUAGCUGGUNUGAGAGGACGACCAGCCACACUGGAACUGAGACACGGUCCAGACUCCUACGGGAGGCAGCAGUGGGGAAUUUUGGACAAUGGGCGCAGGCCUGAUCCAGCAAUGCCGCGUGAGUGAAGAAGGCCUUCGGGUUGUAAAGCUCUUUUGUCAGGGAAGAAACGGUGGAGGCUAAUAUCGUUCGCUAAUGACG